AAUAAGCGGAGGAAAAGAAACCAACAGGGAUUGCCUCAGUAACGGCGAGUGAAGCGGCAACAGCUCAAAUUUGAAAUCUGGCCCUAGGCCCGAGUUGUAAUUUGCAGAGGAUGCUUUUGGCAAGGUGCCUUCCGAGUUCCCUGGAACGGGACGCCAUAGAGGGUGAGAGCCCCGUCUGGUCGGACACCGAGCCUCUGUAAAGCUCCUUCGACGAGUCGAGUAGUUUGGGAAUGCUGCUCAAAAUGGGAGGUAUAUGUCUUCUAAAGCUAAAUACCGGCCAGAGACCGAUAGCGCACAAGUAGAGUGAUCGAAAGAUGAAAAGCACUUUGAAAAGAGAGUUAAAUAGCACGUGAAAUUGUUGAAAGGGAAGCGUUUAUGACCAGACUUGGCCCGGUUGAUCAUCCACCCUUCUGGGUGGUGCACUCUGCCGGUCCAGGCCAGCAUCAGUUCGCUCCGGGGGAUAAAGGUUUCGGGAAUGUAGCUCCUCCGGGAGUGUUAUAGCCCGUUGCGUAAUACCCUGGGGUGGACUGAGGUCCGCGCUCUGCAAGGAUGCUGGCGUAAUGGUCAUCAACGACCCGUCUUGAAACACGGACCAAGGAGUCGUCUUCGUAUGCGAGUGUUCGGGUGUAAAACCCCUACGCGUAAUGAAAGUGAACGCAGGUGAGAGCUUCGGCGCAUCAUCGACCGAUCCUGAUGUUCUCGGAUGGAUUUGAGUAAGAGCAUACGGGGCCGGACCCGAAAGAAGGUGAACUAUGCCUGUAUAGGGUGAAGCCAGAGGAAACUCUGGUGGAGGCUCGCAGCGGUUCUGACGUGCAAAUCGAUCGUCAAAUAUGGGCAUGGGGGCGAAAGACUAAUCGAACCUUCUAGUAGCUGGUUUCCGCCGAA
rnacentral:rRNA from 1 species